GCCGCAUCCGUCGUUUCGCCUCGAGCGACUGCACUUCCGCGAACUUUUGGAACCGUAAACCGUCUUCGCUAACAUUCUAACUAUGCUCCCAUUCAAAACGUAUAAGUUCUUACGUUUGUUCGCCUCGCACAUGACCCAAUCUCGCUUUCGGACCCUCAUAGCUCCACUUGAAGCAGAAAUAUCGCAACCCUUCGAGUCCAAUGCGCCUAACGAGAUCAAUUGUGCUUUAAACAUCGAUCGCUCUGAACGAUCGGUAACACAGUGCUCUGACAUCGAUCUUCUACAAGGAUCGAAAACCUUCAACUCUAAUACAAAAUGUUGGGAAUCUGGUACUCGCCCCGGUAUCGGAUCUUGUGAAUCCGCAAACCGCUCCGAUACUGAUGGCUGUGGAUGCGGUACCGAUUAUUGAGAUUCCGCAACGGAAGCGCCGAAUCGGGUUUUACCAUAAACCCGUCUCCUCAGCAAAAGCUGAUACAAUCAUAAAAGAAAAAAAUAUGCAGGUAAAAUAAGAUUCAUUAAAUAAGAGAAAAUUACACCUGACUCCUCUUCUGAAUAGAGUAGCCACAACCCGAGCCCUCUUUCUUGAAUCUCUCAUACCCUUCUUUUGUCUUUUAUACUCCUAGAAGACAUCUCUCUUCCUGUGCAUCCAUGCACAAGGUAUACCAAUGACCCACGGCUACAAGAGCCGCACACGUCCUCUUAUACCAAUACACUAGGUGCAACCAAAAUCAUGACCAUUUUGGCCAUGCCAUAUGGGUGUGGCUAAUCCAUACCACCACCACCACCAUAAACAAUAGCACCUAUGCUAUAUUUAUAGCUUACUUCAAAAGCUGCCUAAAUCCUAAUAUAAUUAGGAUUCCUACUCCGAUAAAUAUUUAAAUCUAUAUUUAGCUUAUCUCUAAUAGAUUUAAAUAUUUAUUAUAAUCUAGUUAGAUUUAUAUUCUAAUUAAUAUUUAAAUCUUAAUUUAUCUUCAAUAGAUUUAAAUAUUAAUUCUUAUCUAAUUAGGAUUCAACUACAAAUCUAACCAAAUCCUAACAAAUGGGUUGUAAGUAAUUGGAUCUUUGGGCUU
rnacentral:lncRNA from 1 species